GAUAAACGCUGGCGGCGCACAUAAGACAUGCAAGUUGAACGGACUUAAUCGAAAUAUUUAUAUUUUGAAGCGGUUAGUGGCGGACUGGUGAGUAACGCGUAAGGAACCUGCCUAUUAGAGGGGAAUAACAGUGAGAAAUCAUUGCUAGUACCGCAUAUGCCAUAGAUAUCACAUGAUAACAGUGGGAAAGGAGCAAUCCGCUAAUAGAUGGCCUUGCGUCUGAUUAGAUAGUUGGUGGGGUAACGGCCUACCAAGUCGACGAUCAGUAGCCGGACUGAGAGGUUGAACGGCCACAUUGGGACUGAGAUACGGCCCAGACUCCUACGGGAGGCAGCAGUCGGGAAUAUUGCGCAAUGGAGGAAACUCUGACGCAGUGACGCCGCGUAUAGGAAGAAGGUUUUCGGAUUGUAAACUAUUGUCGUUAGGGAAGAGAAAGGACAGUACCUAAGGAGGAAGCUCCGGCUAACUACGUG
rnacentral:rRNA from 1 species